ensembl:lncRNA
AAAUACAGAUAUGUUGUCUUUUAGUAUUUCAUAUUGCACAAACUAAAAUUCUAAAACUGGUCAGUAAUAUGCACUAUAUUCCAUGUUCUUGGAAGCUUUGCGUGAGGAACAGACCCAAAUACAUGAAUAAAUAUAUACUUUAAAUGCAACAAGCCGUUAUUCAGUGCAAAUCUCUUCUCCAUCUCACAUCUUUGAUGCUGUAUACUCUUGAACGUCAGAGCACAAUCUCUAUCAGGCUUGUGAGUGAUGACUGAAUUUACAUUUUUAGGAUGAACUGUCCCUUUAAAGUGAACUGUCUCAGAGAAGCUCGUGUUCACUGGCAGCGGACAGCCCAAAGCUCCUCUGACCGGUGAUGCAGCACGUCUCCAGGUCAAAACAUUCAGAACCACUUCUGCUUUCUGAUCUCACAGUGAAUAUCUCGUCUUCAUCGCACCCAGAAUGCUAAAGCUGAGAGAGUGUGAGGUCCUCCUGUCGUCAUCAAAACCACUGACCGGAUGCAGCUCCAGACCAGACACAAGCACAUAGAGACCGAAUCUGAGGAAAGAGAAACAUCAGCGUGUGUUUAACUCAUCAUCGGCAAACACUCACUGACCGCUGGUGUGGUCACCGCAAACUCCCGCUGCUGGACCUACAGGAGCUGUUUAGGAUCCACAGACUUUAGACUUCUGGACACAAACUGAUUCGCACUUUCCUAAGAGAGACGCAUCAGUGACCUCUAAUUACUGAGAUGUUGAGAUGUCUGCAUCAAAAGAAAUUUACAAAAGUGAUUUUAUGUCUAGAAAGCACAUUAAAUAUGCGGGUGUUUGCUGAAGAGCUCAAGAGUUCACGCGCUCUAUUCUGAGUCAACAGCGGCCUCCUGACAGAGAUUAAACAGGAGAAAUGAUUCGCUCAAUGAUCUUUAUUAUUUAAUAUAGAUCAGUGGAUUCGCUGGAAAGGACAUUAACCGGAAGUCAGUUUAACAUUAGAAAGCAAUCUAGAGGAAGAGCCGAUGCAGUUUCUUUAUGUGCGAUACACAGUAGACCGACAGGCGGCGCUGCGCUAAAUGCAAU